GCCCCGGUCGUCUAGCCCGGUCAAGCCUCCUUGCGAGGGACUAGGGAUCUCGGCCUCUCGAGCCGAAGACCCGGGUUCGAAUCCCGGCCGGGGCA
rnacentral:tRNA from 1 species